rnacentral:rRNA from 1 species
ACAGUGGACGCGAGCAUCUGUGGCCAAGUUUUUAAGGGCGCACGGUGGAUGCCUUGGCACCAGGAACCGAUGAAGGACGUGGGAGGCCACGAUAGUCCCCGGGGAGUCGUCAACCAGGCUUUGAUCCGGGGGUUUCCGAAUGGGGAAACCCGGCAGUCGUCAUGGGCUGUCACCCGCUGCUGAACUCAUAGGCAGUGUGGAGGGAACGCGGGGAAGUGAAACAUCUCAGUACCCGCAGGAAGAGAAAACAACCGUGAUUCCGGGAGUAGUGGCGAGCGAAACUGGAUGAGGCCAAACCGUAUGUGUGUGAUACCCGGCAGGGGUUGCGCAUGCGGGGUUGUGGGAUCUCUCUUCCACGGUCUGCCGGCCGUGGGACGAGUCAGAAACCGUUGAUGUAGGCGAAGGACAUGCGAAAGGUCCGGCGUAGAGGGUAAGACCCCCGUAGUCGAAACAUCAGCGGCUCGUUUGAGAGACACCCAAGUAGCACGGGGCCCGAGAAAUCCCGUGUGAAUCUGGCGGGACCACCCGCUAAGCCUAAAUAUUCCCUGGUGACCGAUAGCGGAUAGUACCGUGAGGGAAUGGUGAAAAGUACCGCGGGAGCGGAGUGAAAUAGUACCUGAAACCGUGUGCCUACAAGCCGUGGGAGCGUCGCGCAUCGAGCUUGCUCGGUGCGUCGUGACUGCGUGCCUUUUGAAGAAUGAGCCUGCGAGUUAGCGGUGUGUAGCGAGGUUAACCCGUGUGGGGAAGCCGUAGCGAAAGCGAGUCCGAACAGGGCGAUU